GACUUAUUAUGGAACACAGAAAAACCAGAAGUUUCAGGGGACAGAUGAAGGACUCCUCUAAACUGCUCUGGCCAGAGAAGACCAUCUCUAAUGACCACCAAGGAAAAGAAAAGAUGAGGAAACUGAUUGGCCCAGGUCAUAUAGCUAUGAAUAUUUGAGAAUUUUGUUCACCAGUGUAAAAAACAUAUGCAUCUUAGAAAAUGCACAUCAACAACCAAAAAGGAUCUUGGAAAUUUCUCAAAUCUGAAUUUCAAAUGGAAUAAUCUUCCUUAAAGUUGCUAAUUCACAGUGGAUAAAAUAAAAUAUAGAAAAAAAA